UACAGAGGUGGCAAGCGUUGUUCGGAAUUACUGGGCGUAAAGGGCGCGUAGGCGGCCCGUCAAGUCCCGUGUGAAAGCCCCCGGCUCAACCGGGGAACGGCGCGGGAAACUAGCAGGCUUGAGUUCGGGAGAGGGAAGCGGAAUUCCGGGUGUAGCGGUGAAAUGCGCAGAUAUCAGGAGGAACACCAGCGGCGAAGGCGCUGCUCUGGGCCGGUACUGACGCUGAGGAGCGAAAGCGUGGGGAGCGAACAGG
rnacentral:rRNA from 1 species